GACGCGGGGGGCGGCCCCGCCCCGCCCCGCCUCGCCGCGCCGAGGGGCCGCGCUCCGCGCAGUGAGGGCGGUGGCAGCCCCGGCUCCCGGCCGCCGCCCGCCUCGCCCCGCCAGUAUAUGCCAUUUUUCUCCUUCUGGAAGCCACUGGAUAAAGAAAGAAAGAAGUGAAGGGCUGUAGAUGGAAGAGAACAGGAAAAGGCAAAAAGUCUAUCAGCAGCAGAACUGAUGACAGUGGUGUGGAGCAUGAAAGCUGACUCGCCUCAUACAUUGAAGACUGCAACUUACAAUGAAAAAGUCUGGAAAGCAAAGAAUAGUGGAAUGCAAGGAAAAGACCUACAGAAAAGCAUCUUGGAUAGAAAUUGGAGCAGAAAUUCAUAUAGUUAUUGCAAACAGCACAUCUGAUUAGCUUCUCAAUUCUCCGAAUAAGGCUCAGAGUGAAUGGUGGUUCAAACAAACAAACUUGCCUCCUAAAAGCAACAUACAGUUUGAAUAUUUGGUUAAAAAACCCCAUGCUGGUAUACCGUGUAUAACUAUUAGUGUCUAACCAAAAACAUACUUGAUAUAAGAUACCUUUUGAAAUGCUAGAUAAACAUAUUACACUUACAUAUCCUCAGAAUCAGAGGGUCCUUCUUUGGCUUGUUCAUCUUCUGUAUCAUCUAUUUCAAGAUCAUCUUGAUGCUGCACAUCUGCUACACUGGGAACAUCAACGAGAAUUCUGUACAAUUUGUAAAGAUCGGGGAGUGAGCAUGUUCUCAACAUCUGCAAAAGUAAUAAGAAAAGCUCAUGUUUGGUAACAAAUCAAAAAAAUCUGAGGUUAAAAAUUACAUUAAAAUCAACUUUUUUUGCUU